rnacentral:rRNA from 1 species
GAUGAACGCUAGCUACAGGCUUAACACAUGCAAGUCGAGGGGCAGCGGUAUCGAAAGCUUGCUUUCGGUAGCCGGCGACCGGCGCACGGGUGAGUAACGCGUAUCGAACCUGCCUCAUACUCGGGAAUAGCCUUGCGAAAGUAAGAUUAAUGCCCGGUGUUUUCAGAGUCCCGCAUGAGGCUUUGAACAAAGAUUUAUCGGUAUGAGAUGGCGAUGCGUCCCAUUAGCUUGUUGGCGGGGUAACGGCCCACCAAGGCAUCGAUGGGUAGGGGUUCUGAGAGGAAGGUCCCCCACAUUGGAACUGAGACACGGUCCAAACUCCUACGGGAGGCAGCAGUGAGGAAUAUUGGUCAAUGGGCGGAAGCCUGAACCAGCCAAGUAGCGUGCAGGAAGACGGCCCUCCGGGUUGUAAACUGCUUUUAGUGGGGAAUAAAACGGGGCUCGUGAGCCCCCUUGCAUGUACCAUCAGAAAAAGGACCGGCUAAUUCCGUG